rnacentral:rRNA from 1 species
UACGGAGGAUGCAAGCGUUAUCCGGAAUUACUGGGCGUAAAGCGAGUGUAGGCGGUUGCCCAAGUCAGGGGUUAAAGCCUUGAGCUCAACUCAAGAAAUGCACUUGGUACUGGGUGGCUAGAGGACCGGAGAGGAUAGUGGAAUUCCCAGUGUAGUGGUGAAAUACGUAGAGAUUGGGAAGAACACCAGUGGCGAAGGCGGCUAUCUGGACGGUUACUGACGCUAAGACUCGAAAGCGUGGGGAGCAAACAGG